rnacentral:rRNA from 1 species
GGGGAUGACGUCAAAUCAUCAUGCCCCUUAUGACCUGGGCUACACACGUGCUACAAUGGACGGUACAAAGAGCUGCAAGACCGCGAGGUGGAGCUAAUCUCAUAAAACCGUUCUCAGUUCGGAUUGUAGGCUGCAACUCGCCUACAUGAAGCUGGAAUCGCUAGUAAUCGCGGAUCAGCAUGCCGCGGUGAAUACGUUCCCGGGCCUUGUACACACCGCCCGUCACACCACGAGAGUUUGUAACACCCGAAGUCGGUGGGGUAACCUUUUUGGAGCCAGCCGCCUAAGGUGGGACAGAUGAUUGGGGUGAAGUCGUAACAAGGUAGCCGUAUCGGAAGGUGCGGCUGGAUCACCUCCUUU